rnacentral:tRNA from 1 species
GGAUCCAUAGCUCAGUUGGUUAGAGCACUCGGCUCAUAACCGAGUGGUGGUUGGUUCGAUUCCAACUGGAUCCACCA